rnacentral:lncRNA from 1 species
UCAUGUGUCACGUCUUUUCCAUUGAGCCCCUCACCUUUUUCUUUUUUUCCUCAUGUCCUCUUCUUCUUCAUCUACGAAGCCCCGGCCAACCUGCCUCGAUCCGGCCGACCACCGCGCUUUGAAUUGUCCCAAUUUAUUUAAAUUAAUAUUCCUUUUGAUUACUCCAGCAAGCAGGCAAUUAAACGAUGCUAGUACUCCUCUCAAUGGGGACGAAUCGGACGCGGUUCCAAUUCCCCAAUCAGCGACGGCGACGAUAUCCAAUAUUCAUCCG